UACAGAGGGGGCAAGCGUUGUUCGGAAUUACUGGGCGUAAAGGGCGCGUAGGUGGCCUUCUAAGUUGAACGUGAAAUCCCUGGGCUCAACCCAGGAACUGCGUCCAAGACUGGGAGGCUUGAAUCCGGGAGAGGGAUGCGGAAUUCCAGGUGUAGCGGUGAAAUGCGUAGAUAUCUGGAGGAACACCGGUGGCGAAGGCGGCAUCCCGGACCGGUAUUGACACUGAGGCGCGAAAGCGUGGGGAGCAAACAGG
rnacentral:rRNA from 1 species